AUCAACCAGUAUGAGCUUGAGUUUGAAUUUGAUGAAUCCUCGAAACAAUGAGUAUGAUGUUUCUGCUAUGGCUUCUUCUUCUUCUUCUUCUCCUCGAAACAGUAAUAAGUAUGGUGUUUUUCUUAGUUUUAGAGGAGAGGACACCCGUGACAACUUUACCAGCCAUCUUUAUUCUGCUCUGUGUCACAAUAACAUUGAAACUUUCAUCGACAAUGAUCUUAAGAGAGGAGAUGAAAUUUCACAGUCUCUGCUUGAUACAAUUGAAGCAUCGGCCAUCUCAAUUAUCAUUUUCUCAGAAAGAUAUGCUUCUUCAGUGUUGUGCGCGGAAUGCAGAAUUAAGCGCACCAAAUAAUUAUAGAAAAAUAAAGGACACAAGAAUUACGUGGUUCGGUAAUUAAACCUACAUCCACGGAGGCAAGAAAGAGUAAUUGUUUAUUAAACAAUUAAUAGAGUACAAUAUUUGAGUAACGAAUCUCACUUCCCAGAAACCCAAAUAUACCCAGUACUCCCACACUCUGCAGGAAAAAUAAAUUCCCCAGACACACUUCUCUCACUUCUCUCAAAAGCUUAGAAACUUAUAAGCUUAACAAUUUUGGGAUGAUUAAGAAUAGAAGAAGUGCCAUCUAUUUAUAGGGAAAAUAAUGGCACUAUUGCACCAACCCCUUUACUAUUCCACCUAACCUAAGCCAAUAGUCAAUGGUGUCCAUUUGGCAAAUUUGACAAAUUUGCCAACUUUCCAUUUUUUCUUCAAAUGUUUGGUAGCCAUUUGAAAUUUUGCAUGCAUUUUUUAAUUUGAAUGUCAUGUGCAUGACUUUUCAACAAUUCUCUACCUCGGCGAAAAUUUGUCCAAAUCUGAGCCGACUACCAACGAACCCUCAUCCCCAGAGUGAUCCUUCAAUAAGGAUCCAGAAUGGCUGUGUCGAUUCGACUGCCUACGUACCCAAAAUUUGGGAUCAAGCCAAUCGUAGUUCAUAAUUCCUGAAGGACAUAUCUUAACACAAUUGAAGGAUUUGAAUUAAUUUCAAGCAAUGUUGAAACUUAACUCCAGAAACUACCUUCGUCAACAUAUCUGAUGGAUUAUCUUUGGUAUCGAUCUUUCUCAACAACACAACACUACUCUCGAUAAUAUCUCUCACAUAAUGAUAUUUCACAUCUAUGUGCUUCGUCCGAGCGUGAUAUAUUUGAUUCUUCGCAAGGAAUAUCGCACUUUGAUUAUCAUAGAAGACCGCAAUGUUCUCCUGGAUUACUCCCAAAUCACCUAACAAGCCUUUCAACCAGAUAGCUUCUUUUACAGCUUCAGUUGCUGCCAUAUACUCUGCUUCCGUAAUGGACAGAGCAAUUAUCGAUUGCAAAAUUGACCUCCAGCUAACCGGACCUCCACCCAAUGUGAAUACGUAGCCCGUUGUUGAUCUUCGCUUGUCAAGGUCUCCAGCGAAAUCAGAAUCACAAUACCCAACACAUUGUUGACCACAAUCCUUCUUGAACAAUAACCCAACAUCAAUUGUCCCAUACAGAUAUCGGAGAAUCCACUUUACCAUAAGCCAUUGAUUUUUACCCAGAUUGUUCAUGUAUCUACUAACCAUGCUCACUGCUUGAGAUAUAUCGGGCCUUGUGCAUACCAUAGCAUACAUAAGACUACCCACAGCACUAGCAUAUGGAACACGAGCCAUGUAAUCGCGCUCCUCUUAAGAUCUAGGACAUGAAAAAGAGCUUAAUUUGAAAUGAGGAGCUAGAGGUGUACAUACCGGUUUUGUUUUGUCAUCCAUACCGAAUCUUUCUAGCACUUUCUUCAAAUAAGACUUUUGAGUCAACCAUACGCUCCCAUUCUUCUUGUCUCUACGAAUCUCCAUCCCAAGUAUUCUCUGUGCAUCACCCAAGUCUUUCAUCUCGAACUCAUAAGCCAGCUGCUUCUUUAAUCUUUCAAUCUCAUCUCUAUUCUUUGAAGCUAUAAACAUAUCGUCGACAUAAAGUAACAAAUAGAUGAAAGCUCCAUCUAGUAGUCUUCUAAAGUAAACACAAUGAUCGUGUUCACUUCUGGUGAAUUUCUGCCCUUGUAUAAAUUGAUCAAAUCUUUUGUACCACUGCCUUGGCGAUUGCUUCAGUCCGUACAAAGAUUUAAUCAACCUACACACAUGAUUCUCCUUUCCAGCAACUCUGAAACCACAAGGCUGAAUCAUAUAGAUUUCUUCCUCCAAAUCUCCAUGUAAGAACGCUGUCUUAACAUCCAAUUGAGCCAACUCUAACUCAUAUUCUGCAACUAAGGCAAGUAGGAUAUGAAUGGAAGUAUGUUUUACAACUGGAGAGAAAACUUUAUUGUAGUCAAUACCUUCCUUUUGAGCAAAACCUUUUACCACGAGCCUUGCCUUGUAUCGAGGAGUUGUUUGAUUCGGAGAUCCUUGCUUUUUUGUGUAGACCCAUUUAUUGCCAAUAGCCCUUUUCCCCUUUGGUAACUUUACAAGUUCCCAAGUCUGGUUUUGAUGGAGAGAUUUCAUUUCUUCCUCCAUGGCUAACUUCCACUGAUCACUUUCACUGCUGCGUAAUGCUUCACCGAAAGUGUUAGGGAUAUCAUCAUCAAUAACUGGAAGUGCAUAGGCUACCACCAUAUCUUUAGUAAGCCAUCCAGGUUUCUUUAUCUCUCUUCUUGGCCUCCUUGUUGCUAUAAAAUCAUCAUUAUCUACAUCAUCAAUUGUUUCUUCAUUUUGUGGGACAUCAGAAGAAACAACCUCUUCUUCAACUCUAGGUGUCACCUCCAUAGUUGAACCCUUCUUUAAUGUAGAACUAACUGGUACAUAUGGAGUUGCAUCAAACUCCACCCGCUGCAAUACCUAUGUGGUCUUGUUCUCCACCUGUUGAGAACUUGAAGCUUUCAUCAUUGAAGCUUCAUCAAAUGUGACAUCUCUGCUAGACACAAAUUUUUUAUCUUCGAGAUCCCAAAGCUUGAAGCCCUUUACUCCACCUUUGAAUCCCACAAAGAUAACUUUUUUAGCAUGAGGAUCCAGUUUACCAUCUUUGACAUGAUAAUAAGCUAGACACCCGAAUAUACGAAGGGAAUCAUAGUCUUGUGCAUGCUUUCCAGACCAAAUUUUCAUAGGAGUUUUACCUCCAAUUGCAGCAGAAGGCAACCGGUUUACUAAGUGACUUGCGUAGCUCACAGCUUCAGCCCAAAACUUUUUAUCUAAUUCAGCAUUAGAUAAUAUACACUGUACCUUCUCCAGUAAAGUACGAUUCAUACGCUCAGCCACACCGUUCUGUUGCGGAGUAUGUCUCACCGUGAAAAGUCUUUUAAUACCCUCGUUCUGGCAUACUUGCAAGAAUGGAUCAGAAGUAUAUUCACCCACAUUAUCAGAUCAUAAUACUUUGAUCUUUCUACCAGUUUGAGUCUCCGCCAAUUUCUUCCAUUUCACGAAAAUCUCUAGAAUCUCAUCCUUUGCUCGCAUGGUGUACACCCACACACGUCUAGAGAAAUCAUCAAUAAAUGUAACAAAAUAAUGGCUUCCACCAAUUCAUGCAGUCUUGGUUGGUCCCCAUACAUCACUAUGAACAUAUUCAAGGAUCUCACGAGUAUCGUGAUUAGCUGUACCAAACUUGACCCUUGUUUUCUUGCCUACUACACAAUGCUCACAGAAAUUUAAUUUACAGGUUUUGGUACCUUUUAAGAGUCCAUGCCUCAUCAGAGUUUGCAAAGACUUCUCUCCAGCAUGUCCCAGUCGUACAUGCCAUAGCUUGGUGGUGUCACUGUGCGCCUCAACAACAUUUACUUCAUCAGUUGUACCUUCCUUCAAAUAGUACAGUUUGUGACGCCGAACCCCUUGCAAAAUCAUCAUAGCCCCAUGUGUAAACUUCAUUGUGCCAUCUUCAAUGGUAACCUUGUAGCCUUUAGCUUCCAAAGCACCCACACAAAUUAGAUUUUUCUUUAAAGCUGGAACAAAUCUAACCUCUUUGAGUUCUCUGACCAUUCCAUCAAACAUUUUGAGCCGAAUUGUUUCUAUCCCCAUUGUGCAACAAGGUUGAUCAUUCCCCAUCACAACUGCACCGGAUUUCAGAUUACGAAAAUUCGUAAACCAUUCCUUAAUAGGACACAAAUGAUAGGUUGCUCCAGUAUCAAGUAUCCACUCGCUCGAACUAGCCACGUAUGUUGCAGGAGUAAUACUUAGUGAAUAAUUAGAGCCCUUAUCUUUCCGUGCCAUGUUUGCUGCUACUGGUUUCUUCCCAUCUCUCUUUUGAGCCUUUGGACAAUCUUUCCUCCAAUGGCCUUUUUCAUGACAAAAGGCACACUCAUCUCGAGCUAUAUUUCUGCUUCUCAAUUUGGAUCAAGAAUUCUUUCCACCACGCUUCUUCUGUUUCUCCAUCGCCCAAUCUCUGCUCACCAAAGCUUCAGACGAUGCUCGUUCAGAAUUUUUAUCAUUAUUCCGAAUCUCUAAGCUAGUCAAUGCUGUGCAAACAUCUUUAAAGAUGAUCACACUCUUCCUAUAUAUCAAAGUAGUCACAAAAUGGCUAUAUUCCUCUAGUAGUGAGUGUAACAAAAUCAUAGCCUUGACUUCAUCCUUAAUAUCUUCAUCAAGAUUCUUCAAAUCAGCAAGUAACUUUUCAAAUCUUGAAACAUGAUCGUGCAUUGACACCCCAGGCUUCAUUCGAAAACCAUAUACUUGGCUCAUUGCAUGAAGGCGAUUUUCAGGACUUUUCACCAGGUACUUCUCCUCCAAUGUACGCCACAAAGUCACCGCACACUCCUCAUCUUUCACCAAGUAUUUCACCUCCUUGGUCAAACAAGAUCUGAUCUGACCACAGGCUUUUUCAUUCAUACGAUCCCAAAUUUCUUCAUCAUACAAGUGUCUUUUUUUUUUUCAGAACAACAUCGAGAUCGAUUUGAAUAAGGGCAUCCAUAACUUCGCUCCUCCACAUGCCGAAGUUGAUUUUCCCAUCAAACUUUUCAACAUCGAUCUUCUGGCCUCCUAUAACAGAUGCUGAAUAGCGAUUUGACAAAUCUCGCCUCCCACCUGAAGUGUCCCCUGAAAUAGUCUCGGUAGAUCUCUCCCCAAUUCUGGAAGUUUCACCUUCUACCAUUUUCUCAACGAACUAUUUCCACUUGAAAAACAGUCUCUAUAAUGUUAAUUUCGCGUGAAUAAAUGCACCAGGAAAGUUCCCAGGAAACUGGACAGGAACUCGGUCCCAAUUAAAAACCAAAAUCCUUAGACUCUUAUCGCCUUUGUUGACAGAACUUUCCUAGACAUGCAAAAAUACACACUACUUACAAUAGACUGUCUCUCAAGUACAAAUGGUCGUCUCCACCGUAUUCGUAAACAGUACCGUAUGUUAACAGUACCGUAUACGAGAAUAGUACCGUAUACGUGAACAGUCCGUAUCCCCCCAAGUACGAACUGUCGGCUCUGAUACCACUUGUGCGCGGAAUGCGGAAUUAAGCGCACCAAAUAAUUAUAGAAAAAUAAAGGACACAAGAAUUACGUGGUUCGGUAAUUAAACCUACAUCCACGAAGGCAAGAAAGAAUAAUUGUUUAUUAAACAAUUAAUAGAGUACAAUAUUUGAGUAAUGAAUCUCACUUCCCAGAAACCCAAAUAUACCCAGUACUCCCACACUCUGCAGGAAAAAUAAAUUCCCCAGACACACUUCUCUCACUUCUCUCAAAAGCUUAGAAACUUAUAAGUUUAACAAUUUUGGGAUGAUUAAGAAUGGAAGAAGUGCCAUCUAUUUAUAGGGAAAAUAAUGGCACUAUUGCACCAACCCCUUUACUAUUCCACCUAACCUAAGCCAAUAGUCAAUGGUGUCCAUUUGGCAAAUUUGACAAAUUUGCCAACUUUCCAUUUUUUCUUCAAAUGUUUGGUAGCCAUUUGAAAUUUUGCAUGUAUUUUUUAAUUUGAAUGUCACGUGCAUGACUUUUCAACAUUCAGGAUGGUGUCUCGAUGAACUUUCAAAGAUCCUCGAAUGCAAGCACGAUUAUGGACAGAUUGUGAUUCUAGUUUUCUGUCGCGUUGAUCCAUCGCACGUGAGACGGCAAACUGGGACUUUUGGAGAUUAUUUUUCGAAGCUUGGAAAACGAUAUCCAGAGAAGAUGCAUAGAUGGGCGAAUGCUUUGAUGGAAGCAGCCAACC
rnacentral:lncRNA from 1 species